rnacentral:rRNA from 1 species
AUUGAACGCUGGCGGCAUGCCUUACACAUGCAAGUCGAACGGUAACAGGUCUUCGGAUGCUGACGAGUGGCGAACGGGUGAGUAAUACAUCGGAACGUGCCCAGACGUGGGGGAUAACGAGGCGAAAGCUUUGCUAAUACCGCAUACGAUCUAAGGAUGAAAGCAGGGGACCGCAAGGCCUUGCGCGUUUGGAGCGGCCGAUGGCAGAUUAGGUAGUUGGUGGGAUAAAAGCUUACCAAGCCGACGAUCUGUAGCUGGUCUGAGAGGACGACCAGCCACACUGGGACUGAGACACGGCCCAGACUCCUACGGGAGGCAGCAGUGGGGAAUUUUGGACAAUGGGCGAAAGCCUGAUCCAGCAAUGCCGCGUGCAGGAUGAAGGCCUUCGGGUUGUAAACUGCUUUUGUACGGAACGAAAAGGCUCUGGCUAAUACCUGGGGCACAUGACGGUACCGGAAGAAUAAGCACCGGCUAACUACGUG